UUUAUAGAAAAAAUUAAAGGAAAAUUAAUUAAACGAAAUAGAAAACGGAAAUUAGGGUUUAAUGUGUUGUGACUUACGACGAUUCAACUCCACAGAACUCUCUCUUCCCUCUCGUUCUAUUCUUUCUUCCUAUCGGAAAUCGUGUCCGCCGUACCGGAGGCGGCGGAGCGUGAGGUUUCAUACAACAACCCCUCGAUCUUCACCAUUUCUUCUACCCUAAACGAAGAUCCGACCCCGGUUCCCUCGUCUCCUCACUAAUUUUCCCUAAGUCACUAGACUCUAACCCUAGAAUCACAAAUUAGUUGGCCAAAACGCGAGGAUUCACAUGAUUGAUGGAGGGGAAAGAUUCAGCAAGAGACACGCAACAUCAUGGUGCGGGGAUUUGAGCAAUAAAGAGAGGUUUUAGGCUUACCUACCGGAGCAGUUCCGGUGACUCUUCGACGGCUAGCGAAAUAAACGCGAGGAAUACUUCAAUUAGGUUUGCUACUGAAACGGUUCAGAACUGGAAGGUUUGUAGUUGCGACGCGGAGUCGAAUUCGGCUUAUGGAACUCACAGUUUGGCUUGAAACAUGGGGCUGGUAUGUAUGGUAUAGAUGGCUUUGUUCUUUUGGUACAAGACUCUUGGAACUGGGUUUACUUGGAGCAAAAUAGAAGUGAAAGGAUUGAGCACGAAGUUGGCGUGAAGAAGUGUUGAAGAAACUUCGAAGACGAAUAUUGAACCUUUUAGGCAUCGGCUUAGGAUUUUUCGUGUAUUUGUGUGUAAAUUCGAUAAGCCUUGCAACUUAUACUCGCACCUUAUUUGUAUGAAUUUGUGAUGACCUUUUCCUUGAAAUGUAUGGAUUCUGCCAAGUAGUCUCUUGAAUGAAAAAAUGGUGACAAACCAAUGGAAUUGGAUACCUUGAAUGAAGAAAUAGGGAUGAUAUUUGUAACUUGAACUCUUGAUACUUGAAUCAAAAUGAUGAUGUGUUAAUGUCUUACGACUUAUAUACCAAGAAACCACGUGGAUAUUCUUCUCUUUAUGAUCUUAAGUCGUUAAUCUUCAAAUCAACUCUAAUGAACACCUUAUCUUAACUUCAAUCAAGUAAUUUGUAUUAUUGGUCAUAGGUAUUGAGACGAAGGACAUGCUUUGAACCAUAGAGGAUCUCUUUUCUUCGAUGCCUUGUAUCAUGACUCAUUCUUUUACAACUCAUCCCAUGAGCCCCAGAUGACAUGAGACUUUAAACCAAAUAGCCUUAGUUGAUGAAUGUCAAUAAGCUCAAUCAUGAUGAAUGAGAAACCCCAAUCCUUUUGCUUUGGGUGCAUGUUGCUGAAGAACAAGUAGCUUUUGAGAGGAAACAAACCCUAGCUCAUAAGAUCUUCAUUUGA